GUUGUUGUGGCCGAGAGGUUAAGGCGAUGGACUUGAAAUCCAUUGGGGUCUCCCCGUGCAGGUUCGAGUCCUGCCAGCAACA
rnacentral:tRNA from 1 species